rnacentral:rRNA from 1 species
CCAGACUCCUACGGGAGGCAGCAGUGGGGAAUAUUGGACAAUGGGGGGAACCCUGAUCCAGCGACGCCGCGUGAGUGAAGAAGUAUUUCGGUAUGUAAAGCUCUAUCAGCAGGGAAGAAGAAAUGACGGUACCUGACUAAGAAGCCCCGGCUAACUACGUGCCAGCAGCCGCGGUAAUACGUAGGGGGCAAGCGUUAUCCGGAUUCACUGGGCGUAAAGGGAGCGCAGGCGGCGCGGCAAGUCUGAUGUGAAAGCCCGGGGCUCAACCCCGGGUCUGCAUUGGAAACUGGCGGGCUGGAGUGUCGGAGGGGCAGGCGGAAUUCCUGGUGUAGCGGUGAAAUGCGUAGAUAUCAGGAGGAACACCGGUGGCGAAGGCGGCCUGCUGGACGACAACUGACGCUGAGGCUCGAAAGCGUGGGGAGCAAACAGGAUUAGAUACCCUCGUAA